UGUACUAUCUGCAUCACAAAGGACAACUUAUACGAGCAACACUGGCAACAUUGCAUGCUUUUCUAUCAUGGAUUCCUCUAGGCUAUAUAUUUGAAUCCCCGCUGCUGGAAACAGUCCUAAAGUUCUUUCCCAUGCCAUUGUAUAGGAAUCUUAUUCUCCCGUGUUUAACGGAGGUUGCGUCCCUUCAAUU